rnacentral:misc_RNA from 1 species
AACCAUAGAAACCUGCGGAGUACCUGCGGAAGGAUCAUUACCAGAGAGCCUUUUGGCACUCCAACCCAUUGUGAACAUACCUAUCGUUCCCUCGGCGGGCUCAGCGCGCGGGGCCUCCGGGCUUCCGGGCGUCCGCCGGGGACAACCAAACCCUGAUUUACUACGUGUAUCUCUGAGGGGCGAAAGCCCGAAAACAAAAUAAAUCAAAACUUUUAGCAACGGAUCUCAGAUCGGAAGAGC